rnacentral:rRNA from 1 species
CCUACGGGAGGCUGCAGUGGGGAAUAUUGGACAAUGGGGGGAACCCUGAUCCAGCCAUGCCGCGUGUGUGAAGAAGGCCCUCGGGUUGUAAAGCACUUUCAGUGAGGAAGAACGCCUGGUGGUUAAUACCCAUCAGGAAAGACAUCACUCACAGAAGAAGCACCGGCUAACUCCGUGCCAGCAGCCGCGGUAAUACGGAGGGUGCGAGCGUUAAUCGGAAUUACUGGGCGUAAAGCGCGCGUAGGUGGCUUGAUAAGCCGGUUGUGAAAGCCCCGGGCUCAACCUGGGAACGGCAUCCGGAACUGUCAAGCUAGAGUGCAGGAGAGGAAGGUAGAAUUCCCGGUGUAGCGGUGAAAUGCGUAGAGAUCUGGAGGAAUACCAGUGGCGAAGGCGGCCUUCUGGACUGACACUGACACUGAGGUGCGAAAGCGUGGGUAGCAAACAGGAUUAGAUACCCUUGUAGUC